rnacentral:rRNA from 1 species
AGAGUUUGAUCCUGGCUCAGGACGAACGCUGGCGGCGUGCUUAACACAUGCAAGUCACGGGGGUCCGCAAGGACAACCGGCGAACGGGUGCGUAACACGUGAGCAACCUACCGAUUUGUGGGGGAUAGCCGGCCCAACGGCCGGGUAAUACCGCAUACGCUUGCUCGGUCUCCUGACUGGGCAAGGAAACCUCCGGGGCACAAAUCGAGGGGCUCGCGGCCUAUCAGCUAGUUGGCGAGGUCACGGCUCACCAAGGCGACGACGGGUAGCUGGUCUGAGAGGAUGGCCAGCCACAUUGGGACUGAGAAACGGCCCAGACUCCUACGGGAGGCAGCAGUGGGGAAUCUUGCGCAAUGGACGAAAGUCUGACGCAGCGACGCCGCGUGGGGGAUGACGGGUUUCGGCUUGUAAACCCCUGUUGCCCGGGACGAACGACCUC